GCACGUAGUUAGCCAGUGCUUCCUCUGGGGCAUUUGUCAAACAACUCGGGUAUUAACCGAAUCGAAUUUCAUAACCCCUGACAGGAGUUUACAACCCGAAGGCCUUCAUCCCCCACGCGGCGUCGCUCCGUCAGACUUUCGUCCAUUGCGGAAGAUUCUCGACUGCAGCCUCCCGUAGGAGUCUGGGCAGUGUCUCAGUCCCAGUGUGACCGGCCAACCUCUCAGUCCGGCUACCCGUCAUUGCCUUGGUGGGCCAUUACCCCGCCAACUAGCUGAUAGGACAUAGACUCCUCCUCAAGGGGCAGCGAUGCCACCUUUAGCCACCAGGCCAUGCGACCCGGGGGCGCUAUCCGGUAUUAGCCAUCCGUUAGGAUGGUUAUCCCAGACUUGAGGGUAGAUUAUCUAUAUGUUACUCACCCUUUCGCCGCUUUACUCAUUCCCGAAGGAACUUUCUCGCUCGACUUGCAUGCCUAAACCACGCCGCCAACGUUCGUU
rnacentral:rRNA from 1 species